rnacentral:rRNA from 1 species
UACGUAGGGUGCGAGCGUUGUCCGGAAUUAUUGGGCGUAAAGAGCUUGUAGGCGGUUUGUCGCGUCUGCCGUGAAAAUCCGGGGCUCAACCCCGGACUUGCGGUGGGUACGGGCAGACUAGAGUGUGGUGGGGGAGACUGGAAUUCCUGGUGUAGCGGUGAAAUGCGCAGAUAUCAGGAGGAACACCGAUGGCGAAGGCAGGUCUCUGGGCAUUAACUGACGCUGAGGAGCGAAAGCAUGGGGAGCGAACAGG